UAUAUAUAGUCCGGCUACUAUGCUAUCGGUAGCACGGAGCGCUCCGUGCUACCAAGUUGUUUUCGAUGAUGCGGCUUCCAAAUCGACGAUCGGCUCCGUUAGACUUGAUCUACAUUAUUGAAAGUAUUUGGAAACUAAAUUUCAGAUUUUUUCGACAUCAUUUGACUAGUGAUCAAAAGAUCUCAAAAUUGAUAAUUUUAAUGGCCGAUGUGGUGUGUUUGUGAGUUUAACGGUGUAAAAAAAUCCAAAUGCGAUGAAAAUUUUAUAGAAAAUUCUUUUCACUAUUUAGAGUAAGAUCAGUAUAUCUGAUCUUAAAUUUAAAUCUUUUAUCAUCAUUUUUCAUGAGAUUUUUAUUUUCAGCCGUUCAAUUUUAGACUACUUGUUUGAUAGGUAAAUGAUAUCGAAAAAUUAUGAAAUUUAGUUUUUAAAUACUUUCAAUAGUGUAGAUCAAGUCUAAUGGAGCCGAUCGUCGAUUUGAAAGCCG
rnacentral:lncRNA from 1 species